CAGUAGCCGCGGUAAUACAGAGGGUGCAAGCGUUAAUCGGAAUUACUGGGCGUAAAGCGCGCGUAGGUGGUUUGUUAAGUUGGAUGUGAAAGCCCCGGGCUCAACCUGGGAACUGCAUCCAAAACUGGCAAGCUAGAGUACGGUAGAGGGUGGUGUAAUUUCCUGUGUAGCGGUGAAAUGCGUAGAUAUAGGAAGGAACACCAGUGGCGAAGGCGACCACCUGGACUGAUACUGACACUGAGGUGCGAAAGCGUGGGGAGCAAACAGGAUUAGAUACCCCGGUAGUCCCUGUCUCUUAUAC
rnacentral:rRNA from 1 species